ACUGGAACCGUGAGUCGGGACACCCGGGAGGUUAAAGGCUCUCCCUUAAAUGAGUCAACCAGGCUAAGUGGGUCCGAAGAGACGGCGCCAGGGUGUUGACGGAGUUUGCUGCACCCUUCCAGAGCCUCCCGCUUGAUGCACCAAUCCACAACUUCAAACCGGGUGACCAAGUUUUGGUACAGAAGUGGAAGAAGGAUCCCCUUGCGGAAAGGUGGGAGGGACCCUACCAGGUGCUGCUGACUACACACACAGCUGUUCGCUUAUGAAACAGCGAUAAGUGGACCCAUUGCUUGAG